CCUGCCCUUAGACCUGCAGGUGUGGCUGUUAUGUCACAUGUACAUCAGUAGGUGGCAGAGAGAAGAGAGGCUACACGUCUAUGUUGAGUGUUCAGAUCUAUGAAUAGCUGAAUGUUUUGUAGCCUAAGAUU